GAGAAAGGGGAAGGAGAACCGUGAGAGAGAGAGAGGGAGAGAGAGAAGAGGCAAAGCUUCUCCCUAAGGAAUUCAACAUCCAUGGAAGCUUGAAGAUGGUUGAAGAAGAUAGAAGAGAGAGGAAAGAUCAACCAAAAGCUUGGGAAAAAUUGAAGAGACUAAGGGAUGAACAAAGGUUUGGGUAAGGUAACCAACCAAGUGGUCAGUCCUAGUCAUGACACCUGUUUUCUUUUGUCAACCUUCGUGGGUUCAGGCACUGCACGAAGCCAUUUAUUUUUGUAAAGUCUAUUGAAAUGUUGGCUUAAUUUUGAUUACCCAUUUAAAGUUAAAGAGGUAGAACUUCAAUGAUUUUUAUAUAAGCCUAAUGAUGGGGCUGGGUCUGUACAUAUGGUUGUUUAUCACCGAUGCUACAACAUAUGGUUUGGAGCUUUAUCUAUUUUCCAUGAUGAAUGUGAUGUAUAAGAGGUCCUGGCAUGUAGAUGUAGCUCAAUGGAAUUUAUAUGUAUAGUUAUUUUCCUACUUUAUGCUUC